AGGUGUGGGAGGUGUCGACUCCUUCCGUGCCGUAGCUAACGCAUUAAGCACCCCGCCUGGGGAGUACGGCCGCAAGGCUAAAACUCAAAGGAAUUGACGGGGCCCCGCACAAGCAGCGGAGCAUGUUGUUUAAUUCGAUGCAACGCGAAGAACCUUACCAGGGCUUGACAUGCACUGGAAAUCCGUAGAAAUACGGCCCUCCUUCGGGACCAGUGCACAGGUGGUGCAUGGCUGUCGU
rnacentral:rRNA from 1 species